CCCCCCCCCCCCCCAGUCCGCCCCGCGGCGGGCGGGGCGGGGGCACGGGGGGCCUACGGGAGGCAGCAGUGAGGAAUAUUGGUCAAUGGGCGCAAGCCUGACCAGCCAGCGCGGCAGGA
rnacentral:rRNA from 1 species